rnacentral:rRNA from 1 species
AUUGAACGCUGGCGGCAGGCUUAACACAUGCAAGUCGAACGAGUGGCGGACGGGUGAGUAAUGUCUGGGAACCUGCCUGCUGGUGGGGGAUAACUACUGGAAACGGUAGCUAAUACCGCAUACCAUCGGAUGUGCCCCGAUGGGCUUAGCUAGUAGGUGGGGUAUAGGUUCCCCUGGGCGACGAUCCCUAGCUGGUGUGAGAGGAGGACCAGGCGAACUGGAACUGAGACACGGGCCAGACUCCUACGUGAGGCAGCAGUGGGGAAUAUUGCGCAAUGGGCGCAAGCCUGAUGCAGCCAUGCCGCGGGGAUGAAGAGGGCCUUCGGGUUGUAAGGUACUUUCAGCGGGGAGGCGUUAGCCGCAGAAGAAGCACCGGCUAACUCCGUGCCAGCAGCCGCGGUAAUUC